rnacentral:lncRNA from 1 species
AUUUUUCUUUUUUUUAAUUUUCUUUACAAUAUAUAAUUUUUACUACUUAAUUAGGAAUUGUCAGAUUUCCAUUAUUUCUUUCUAUUAGAAACCAAGAGUUCAAAAUAUUAGUGGUAAGAACUGUCAAAAACUUGUGAUAGCUAUGAUGAAGAGAUUUGUGACAAAUUCGCUCAUGGCCAAAUAUGGCAGCUGGAAAAGGCAAAGAUCUUUUUAGCCUAAGUAAGCUAUACAAUUUAAUAAAAGUUUGUGCAUCGACUUCUCACGAAUCAUACACAGAGUCGAUUGACGAUGCAAUAAUUGCUGAUUCGUGAAAACGGG